GACAGAGGUGCCAAGCGUUAGGCGGAAUCACUGGGCUUAAAGCGUGUGUAGGCGGGUCGUUAAGUACCUUGUGAAAUCCCACGGCUUAACCGUGGAACUGCUCGGUAUACUGGCGAUCUUGAGCCACUUAGGGGUCAGCGGAACAAAUGGUGGAGCGGUGAAAUGCGUAGAUAUCAGGAGGAACACCGAUGGCGAAGGCAGGUCUCUGGGCCGAUACUGACGCUGAGGAGCGAAAGCGUGGGGAGCGAACAGG
rnacentral:rRNA from 1 species